rnacentral:rRNA from 1 species
GGGAGCCGGAGGGAAACCGAGUCUUAAUUGGGCGUUAAGUUGCAGGGUAUAGACCCGAAACCCGGUGAUCUAGCCAUGGGCAGGUUGAAGGUUGGGUAACACUAACUGGAGGACCGAACCGACUAAUGUUGAAAAAUUAGCGGAUGACCUGUGGCUGGGGGUGAAAGGCCAAUCAAACCGGGAGAUAGCUGGUUCUCCCCGAAAGCUAUUUAGGUAGCGCCUCGUGAAUUCAUCUCCGGGGGUAGAGCACUGUUUCGGCCAGGGGGCCAUCCCGGCUUACCAAUCCGAUGCAAACUGCGAAUACCGGAGAAUGUUAUCACGGGAGACACACGGCGGGUGCUAACGUCCGUCGUGAAGAGGGAAACAACCCAGACCGCCAGCUAAGGUCCCAAAGUCAUGGUUAAGUGGGAAACGAUGUGGGAAGGCCCAGACAGCCAGGAUGUUGGCUUAGAAGCAGCCAUCAUUUAAAGAAAGCGUAAUAGCUCACUGGUCGAGUCGGCCUGCGCGGAAGAUGUAACGGGGCUAAACCAU